UACGUAGGGUGCAAGCGUUGUCCGGAAUUAUUGGGCGUAAAGAGCUCGUAGGCGGUUUGUCGCGUCUGCUGUGAAAACCCGAGGCUCAACCUCGGGCCUGCAGUGGGUACGGGCAGACUAGAGUGGCGGUAGGGGAGAUUGGAAUUCCUGGUGUAGCGGUGGAAUGCGCAGAUAUCAGGAAGAACACCCGUGGCUAAGGCGGCUCUCUAGUACGGUACUGACGCUGAGACGCGAAAGCGUGGGGAGCAAACAGG
rnacentral:rRNA from 1 species